UUUUCUAUUUUCUCUCUCUAUUUUAGUUUUAUAUUUUUUCUUCCAAGCCAAACUUUUGCUGUGACCGUAUUGUACACAAUUUUCAAGUGAAAAUAGUUUCUAAAGUAAUCAAAAAAAAAAGGAAAAAUAUUGAAGCAGCUUGGGGAAUUGCUGGUCGAAUUGAGGAGCAAGAGUUUAAGUAAAUUAUUUUUCAGCGAGUAACCUCGAAGUUUUAUUCGCUUACUCGCAUUAUGGAGCAAGAAACUUUUUCCGAGGCCUCGAACACUUGAAAUGUUCAUUGUUAUUGUUGCCCGUUACCUGUAAAGUUGUUCUCGGCAUUGUGUGUGUGUGUGUUUGAGAGAGUCAGCACACAAUCCAAGCCGACAACGUGGCGUAUGCGUAAUUUGUGAGGCAGCACAUCAAAUAAAUUGCAGUGCAAUAAAGCACAACAGAGAGGUAGCACAAAAAAGAAAGGAGAAAAGAAACGCAAGAGAAUGGAUGAAAAGGACUUGGCAUAAUGCCACACACACUCACACACACCCACACACACAUACACUCGCACAUUUUGCUAGGUAGAAGAGCAGCAAUAAGUGCAAACAUUUCACUUUCCAGUUGGGCUUUUUCUUCAUUCUUUCGGCUCGUUGAAGGCUGACACAAUUAAAGCGAGCACUCAGUGCUAUAUGCAUUGUGUGGGCGUGGCACACUCUUUCUCUCUUGGGGCACUCAACUAGCAUAAUUCUCACACUUUCGCAAUUACAACACAACAAAAAAAAAGAUAAGAAAGAACUCACCAUCGAUGUUAAAAUAAAGCACAAAGUCUCAAGUGAAGUCAAGUCAACAUUUACAUACCUGCAAAGAGCCAAAAAGCAUACAGAAAGUGAUUAAAAAACAUGGAUCAAGCACAGACCAAGCAAAAAAAAAAUGCUAAGAGCUACUUCAAAGUGCUUAAAAAUAAGCUGGGAGGAAAAAAAGCGAAAAAAAUGAAGGAAAACGAAACGUGAAAAAAAGGAAAGCAAAUCACAAACAAAUUGCCCAAAUGUCCAGUCUACUGGAUACUGGGAGCUGGGCUCAAGAAAUUAAAUUCCAGCGCUCAACAUCAUUUCCACGAAAUUAAAAAAUUUACGCGCAGACAAUUAAUCAUUGGGGAGGGCGAGCGCAUUCAAGGGGAAAUCUACACCGAUGAGCAGAACAAAUGAGCAGAGCUAAGAGAACGAGAGCGAGCGAGAGGGAGAGCGAAAAAAAUUCCUAGGAAAAUGCACAAGAUUUUCUUGUAUUUUCUUUCUUGAAGCGCAAACAAGAGCAGCAUCAAAUGCGGCACGUAGCAAACGCUAAUCAAAUAAAAACAUUAGUUUCAGAUAUCAAUCGAUGCAGCGAAGACCCCACUGCAAGAUCGUCACAAGUUGCAGUUGAAUGAAUGAAUGAACGAAUUCAGCAUAAAUGCCAUAAAGAAGUCAGCACUGAAAUCUGUCAUUACAUUUAGUUUUUUACAACUUCUGGAAAAUCCCGCACUCCUUUUUGUUCUCUUCGUUUUUGUUUUAUAGCCUGUCUAGCAGCAUUUACCAACUUCAGUUAUAGUUUGAAGCUGUAGUUGGAGUCUGAGUUGGAGUCGGAGUCGCAUAAUGCAAUUAAAAUGAGAAAUGCUGAGCGCUCGUAAAAAGCCAAGAAGAAGAAAAUAACUGAGCUGCGGCAAGCAAACAGCAUUGAAACAAAUUUGCAUUCAGUUGUGAAACAUUCUAUAAAAAAUAAUAAAUUUAAUGUUCGACAAUA